rnacentral:rRNA from 1 species
AACGAACGCUGGCGGCAUGCCUAACACAUGCAAGUCGAACGACACCACCGUGACUAGUUGCGCACGGGUGCGUCACGCGGCGGAACGUGGCCUUAGGCUCGGAAUAACACUCCGAAAGGGGUGCUAAUACCGGAUAACGUAUUCGGACCCAAGAUUUAUCCUCUUUGGAUGGGCCCGCGUUGCUUUAGCCAGUUGGUAGGGUAAAAGCCUACCAGGGCGACGAUCCAUAGCUGGUCAGAGAGAAUGAUCCGCCACACUGAGGCUAGGACACGGUCGAGACUCCUACGGGAGGGAGGCGUGCGGGAUACAGGACAAUCGGCGGAAGGCUGAUCGAGCUAGGGCGCGUGAGUGAUGAAGGCCUUAGGGUUAUAAAGCUCUUUUACCCGGGAUGAUAAUGACAGUACCGGAAGAAUAAGCUCCGGCUAACUCCGUG